UACAGAGGUCCCGAGCGUUGUUCGGAUUUAUUGGGCGUAAAGGGUGCGUAGGUGGCAAAGUAAGUUGGAUGUGAAAUCCUGGGGCUUAACCUCAGAAUUGCAUUCAAUACUGCUUAGCUAGAGAGCUGUAGAGGAGGCUGGAAUUUACGGUGUAGCAGUGAAAUGCGUAGAUAUCGUAAGGAAGGCCGGUGGCGAAAGCGAGCCUCUGGACAGUUACUGACGCUGAUGCACGAAGGCCAGGGGAGCAAACGGG
rnacentral:rRNA from 1 species